UACGUAGGGGGCAAGCGUUGUCCGGAAUCAUUGGGCGUAAAGAGUGUGUAGGCGGUGCUCUAAGUUCGGUGUGAAAUCUCCCGGCUUAACUGGGAGGGUGCGCCGGAAACUGGAGUGCUCGAGCGUGGGAGAGGAAAGCGGAAUUCCUGGUGUAGCGGUGAAAUGCGUAGAUAUCAGGAGGAACACCUGCGGUGUAGACGGCUUUCUGGACCAUUGCUGACGCUGAGACACGAAAGCGUGGGUAGCAAACAGG
rnacentral:rRNA from 1 species